rnacentral:rRNA from 1 species
UACGUAGGGGGCAAGCGUUGUCCGGAAUCAUUGGGCGUAAAGAGCGCGUAGGCGGUCCGGUAAGUCAGCUGUGAAAGUCAGGGGCUCAACCCUUGAAAGCCGGUUGAUACUGUCGGGCUAGAGUCCGGAAGAGGCGAGUGGAAUUCCCGGUGUAGUGGUGAAAUGCGCAGAUAUCGGGAGGAACACCAAUGGCGAAGGCAGCUCGCUGGGACGGUACUGACGCUGAGGCGCGAAAGCGUGGGGAGCAAACAGG